UACAAGAUCCCCUAGUAACUGCGAGUGAAGCGGGAAAAGCUCAAAUUAAAAUCUGGCGUGCCUCUGGUCGUCCGAGUGUAGUUUAGAGAAGCGUUUCUGUGUUGGACCGUGUAUAAGUCUCUUGGAACAGGGCGUCAUAGAGGGUGAGAAUCCCGUCUUUGACACGGACUACCAAUGCUUUGUGAUACGCUCUCAAAGAGUCGAGUUGUUUGGGAAUGCAGCUCAAAAUGGGUGGUAAAUUCCAUCUAAAGCUAAAUAUAGGCGAGAGACCGAUAGCGAACAAGUACCGUGAGGGAAAGGUGAAAAGCACUUUGGAAAGAGAGUUAAACAGUACGUGAAAUUGCUGAAAGGGAGACGCUUGAAGUCAGUCACGUCUGCCAGGACUCAGCCUUGCUUCUGCUUGGUGUACUUUCUGGUUGGAUGGGCCAACAUCGAUUUCGACCGUUGGAGAAAGGCUUUGGGAAUGUGGCACCUUUGGGUGUGUUAUAGCCCUUUGUUGUAUACAAUGGUUGGGAUCGAGGACUGCAGCAUGCCUUCAUGGCCGGGGUUCGCCCACGUACAUGCUUAGGAUGUUGGCAUAAUGGCUUUAAGCGACCCGUCUUGAAACACGGACCAAGGAGUCUAACAUGCCUGCGAGUGUUUGGGUGGAAAACCCAUGCGCGUAAUGAAAGUGAUAGCUGAGAUCCUCUCAUCAGGAGCAUCAGCGCCUGGACUUGAUCUACGGAGACGGUUCUACGGUAGAGCAUGUAUGUUGGGACCCGAAA
rnacentral:rRNA from 1 species